UACGUAGGGGGCGAGCGUUUGUCCGGAUUUAUUGGGCGUAAAGAGCUCGUAGGCGGUCUGUCGCGUCGGAUGUGAAAAUCCAGGGCUCAACCCUGGACCUGCAUUCGAUACGGGCAGACUAGAGUUCGGUAGGGGAGACUGGAAUUCCUGGUGUAGCGGUGAAAGUGCGCAGAUAUCAGGAGGAACACCGGUGGCGAAGGCGGAUCUCUGGGCCGAAACUGACGCUGAGGAGCGAAAGCGUGGGGAGCAAACAGG
rnacentral:rRNA from 1 species